CUAUCAUGUGGAACUAGAAGAUAAACGCCUUGGUGCAACUAAAUCUCUAGGACAAGCUUUUAUAGCUGAGUCUAGCUUUGGGAAAGUUUCAGGCUUUAAGCGUAAGAAGAACUGGUUCAAAGGCGGGAAAGAGAAGGGAAAAGAAACUGGACAGGGACCUAAAAAGAACAAACACAAGCGCAAUAAGAAAGGUAAAUGGUUUGGAAAGAAGAAGAUAAGAGCAUGCUGAAAUGCUUCAACUGUCAGGUGCUGGGUCACUUUGCUCGGGAAUGCCUUAAGCCAAAGAAGGUAGCUCUUAUAAAUACUUCUUUUAGAGCUGUUUAUGUUUCAAGCACUGUUAUGCUAACCGAAUCUUAUCUUAUGUGGAUUGUAGACUCAGGAGCGAUAGACCAUGUUACCAGGGAUCGAGAAGCGUUUGUGGAGUUUCGUCGAUUUUCAGUUGGUACAAAGUGGAUAUAUGUCGACAACGAUGAUAGAAUGGAGGUGAAAGGGAUCGGUACAUGCAAGUUACAUUUGCAUGGUGACCGUACUAUUUUCCUUUAUGAUGUCCUGUUUGCACCGGGGAUACGAAGGAACUUAAUUCCCGUUGUUAUUCUUUUAAGAUUAGGUUUCAGUUUCAACUUUUGUGGUAAUUCUAUUCGUAUAAACAAUCGUGAUGUAUUUUAUAGAUUUGGACAUGUAGAAGGUGG
rnacentral:lncRNA from 1 species